GGGGGCGAACCGGUUUCGACGGGGAUAGUUGAAGCUUGGGUUGCAUGUCGAGGUUCUGGCUGCUCGUUAAACGGCUGGAUAAACACAAACGCAGACGAUUAUUCGUAUGCUCUAGCCGCUUAAGGCUAGCGUCCUACCGGUCUUUGCCUGCGUGAUCGGAUAGGGCGUCGACUAGCGGGCUAGCUGAUCCGGUGUACCUGUGGGCCGGUGAGGCGAAAUUUACACGGGUUAGUCUCGGAGUUAGCCUGCAUGGUAGCGACCCCCGGGGCGAAAUCUCUAUACCAUGCUAUGCAUGUAGAAACCUAAGUGGAAUAUUUCCGGACGGGGGUUCGACUCCCCCCGCCUCCACCA
rnacentral:tmRNA from 1 species